UACAGAGGUCUCAAGCGUUGUUCGGAUUCAUUGGGCGUAAAGGGUGCGUAGGUGGCGCCGUAAGUCAGGUGUGAAAUCUCGGGGCUUAACCCCGAAACUGCACUUGAUACUGCGGUGCUCGAGUACUGGAGAGGAGAUUGGAAUUUACGGUGUAGCAGUGAAAUGCGUAGAUAUCGUAAGGAAGACCAGUGGCGAAGGCGAAUCUCUGGACAGUUACUGACACUGAGGCACGAAGGCCAGGGGAGCAAACCGGG
rnacentral:rRNA from 1 species